rnacentral:miRNA from 1 species
AUGACCUAUGAAUUGACAGC